rnacentral:lncRNA from 1 species
GGUGUCCUUAAAAGAAGAGGGAAAUAUGGACACAGACAUAGACACAGAGGAAGAUGAUGUGAAGACACACAGGGAAAACAUCAUGUAAAGACAGGCUUGGAGUGGUGCACCUACAAGCCAACACAGAAUCACAGCAUCUCAGAGUUGGAAGGAAUUCUUCAUAUGACCACAUUGAUUUUUUUUUUCCUGUUGGUCGGCAUCAGAUUUGUGAAGGCCCCUGGAAGAUUGGAUGGUGCCUGCCUAUACGGAGGGCGGAUCUUCCCCUCCUCGUCCACUCAGACUCACAUGCAAGUCUCCUCUAGAAACACCCUUGCAGACACACCCCAAAAUGACACUUUUAGAGGUUUGUAUGUUUCCUUAAACUAGUCAAGUUGACACUUGAAAUUAACCAUCAUCACAGGGUGGCUGUGACCAUUUCUUUUUUUUUAACCAGUUCAGAAUUCAUCUUUAUCUUCUACUUGCCUCAUCAGUGUAAGUUUAAAGUCAUGUUUUUUUAGACAUUUAUACUUGUGUACAUAGACAAAUAAACUCAUAUUGGAUGACAACUGAUUUUUUAAAAGUCCAGGUAGA